AUGAGAUAGGUAUAGAAGUAAUCAGCAAUUUGUAAAUAAUUUUUCAAGUUAAAACCAAAUUACUCGACAAAAGAAGGAUAUAAAUUUUUAUAUAUGUAUAUAAUUGUGAUACUUUGCAAGAAAAGCAAUUCGCAUUUAUGGCAUACAUCAAUUGCAAGUGCAAGUAACGCCAUUUGUAAUGAACAGCAAUGCUGAUUACCAAAUUGUGUUAAGCUUAUACUUUAAAGUGCAGAUCAGCGAGCAAAUUAGUAAAAUGACUCCACAUUUUCUCACGUUGCACUGUUUUGGUGUUACAAAUGAGAAUGACACCAUAAAUUGGUGUUAAUAUUGCUCCCAAAGGUGUAGAAUUCACACUUUACUUUUUUGUGUGUAUUAGGUUUAGACUGUAUUGAGACGACAUAUGUAUGUAAAAUGUGUAUCGGUAGCUAUUAAGUAUACAAAGCAUGUGAACCUUACUUAAUGCUACUGUAAGAAUGUAGAUGUCAAAUGUCUUAACGUGAGAUGAGCAUCACCCGCAUGGUAAAUAACAGAAGUUAAAAGAGCUCAUAUAUUAAUUCCGGAAAAAGUAAAAUUAAUUCGAUGAUUGAGUCGGUUAAUUGAUAGAGUUAAAACAAUUGGAAUUUCAUCAUCGGACCACAUUAUUCCACACACAUUGCUGCGAAAUAAGAAUCUUUCAUGAAAUGAAACACUUUAUCGUGUUAUUGAUAUUUGCAAAACAUUUGAGUCGGCAAAUAUUUACAAGGGCAUUUUGGAUUCCAAGAAACAAACAGUUGCUGUUGCGCUAUCAUCGCAGAACAAUGAACCGGAUUUAAUCAAUCGUCGUUUCUGUUUCAACUGUGGUGGUGAUUGGAAAUCGGAGCACAAAAGCAAAUGUCCAACCAAUGAUCACACAUGUCAAUGUGAGAAGAAGGGACAUUUUCGCAAGAUGUGUCGACCUAAUAAAAACAAACCAGAAUCAUAUGCAUCAGAGUCGAAGGCAAAUGGAAAACAACGAGAGAAAUGGCAGUGUUGCCAACACAUCCUAAGGAAUUUUGCGAAAGAAUUCAACAUUCAUUAUUUGACGAAAUUGUGAACGGGUAACGAUCAAAUUGUGCUCACAUAGUUUUACUAAUAUUAAUAGCGCCAACUAAGAUUAUAUUUUAAUUAAAUCAAAGAGGCUAAAUCUAAUAUAUACGUUAAUGUGAAAAACGUCAACCAGAGGGUAGAAAUUUUAUACAUACUUAUAAGUACGUACACACAAAAAAAUUUUGGUGUCAAAACAGCACUCUUCGAUGUUGCUGUAAAGGUGUAAUUUUAACUCUUAACUAUUCCCCAAAAUUUGCCCCCACAUAAAGGCUGGAAUGAAACGGAACUCGUAUUUAAUUAAUUUUUUAUUCAGUUCAAAAACUAUUUUCAUAUAUUAUUUAGAUAAAAAUUACAUGCGUUAUUAUUAUGUAUAUAUUAGAAUUAAUAUGAUAGCAAUCAUAAGGCUUUUUAAAUUUCAGGUUGUCAAAGGGGAGGGGAUUACCUCCUUAUUUUUCGAAGGAGACACCUCGUAAAUAUUAAGAAUAUCAUCAAAAGUUGUGGUAGUAUAAUAUUGAACAUAAAAUAAUAUAUUAUUAUUAAUAAUAUAAAUAUCUUUUAUUUGUGCAAAUAUAA